AUUGAACGCUGGCGGCAGGCCUAACACAUGCAAGUCGAACGAGUGGCGGACGGGUGAGUAAUGUCUGGGAAACUGCCUGAUGGAGGGGGAUAACUACUGAAAACGGUAGCUAAUACCGCAUACCAUCAGAUGUGCCCAGAUGGGAUUGGCUAGUGGGUGGGGUAACGGCUCACCAAGGCGACGAUCCCUAGCUGGUCUGAGAGGAUGACCAGCAACAUUGGAACUGAGACACGGUCCAGACUCCUACGGUAGGCAGCAGUGGGGAAUAUUGCACAAUGGGCGCAAGCCUGAUACAGCUAUGCCGCUUGUAUGAAGAAGGCCUUCGGGUUGGAAAGUACUUUCAGCGGGGAGGCGUUACCCGCAGAAGAAGCACCGGCUAACUCCGUGCCAGCAGCCGCGGUAAUAC
rnacentral:rRNA from 1 species